GGAUGUGGCGUUUUUAGUGGUGUGCGUGGUUCCAAUAGCAGUGGACCCUUCGUUCUUCUAUCUUCCUAUCAUUAAAGGCAAAGUCAAAGAGGAUACCAAAUGCAUUGCUUUAGAUACCAAUUUGGAAAUCAUUGCUAUUUGUGUGCGAUCGUUCCUGGAUUUGAUUGCUAUUGGGGAUCUGAUCGCAAGAAAAAUAAAUAGUUGUCCUGACAUGAGGUGUUCAGACUACGUAAUUAACAUUCUCAGCAUUCUUCCAGUUUCGCAGGUUAUAGUGCGAAUUAUAUUUUCAGAAAUGAGAGAUUAUAAAUCCCGGCACGAAAGAAGAUUCCUAAAUGAAGUUGUUCUGUUGCAAUAUGUGCCAAGAAUUUUUCAUAUCUACAAAUUGUGUCAACGAGACUAUCAUCCUACCGCCUAAAAGUAUCCCAAUUACUACUACUAGUGUUAAAGUGAAUGCAGAAAGCUACAAGAAUAUGAAAGGUCUAAUAGUGAUGAAAGCUGGAUUCAAUCUCUUUCUGUAUCUCAUUGCCGGGCAUGUACUGGGUGCUUUUUGGUACUUCUUUGAUAAAACACAUAAGAGUAAACUGUAUGCACUCAAGGUGCUUGAGGAAAUGAUGCAACCAGAGGGGAAAAGUUUCCUUGGUAUUCUUAUAUAUUUCAACUUACUGUUCAUUACAAGUAUGUGCUAUUUAUAUCCGAAAACUAUCCAAAGAAUCAUUUCAGAUUUACACAAGGAUUGAAAAUGAUAUUCUAGACCUAGGACACUUGGAGCUCUUU